rnacentral:rRNA from 1 species
AGUAGGGAAUAUUGGUCAAUGGAGGCAACUCUGAACCAGCCAUGCCGCGUGCAGGAAGACGGCCUUCUGGGUUGUAAACUGCUUUUAUACAGGAAGAAAAGCCCUUGCGAGGGUCUAUGACGGUACUGUACGAAUAAGGACCGGCUAACUCCGUGCCAGCAGCCGCGGUAAUACGGAGGGUCCAAGCGUUGUCCGGAAUUAUUGGGUUUAAAGGGUGCGUAGGUGGUUCUUUAAGUCAGAGCUGAAAUCCCAUGGCUCAACCAUGGAACUGGCUUUGAUACUGGAGAACUUGAGUUCACUAGAGGUAGGCGGAAUUUAUGAUGUAGCGGUGAAAUGCAUAGAUAUCAUAAAGAACACCGAUAGCGUAGGCAGCUUACUGGAGUGUUACUGACACUGAGGCACGAAAGCGUGGGGAGCGAA